UCUCUUUGUUCUUUGUUAGAACAUUUCUAUAAGUUUCUUUGGUGUGGUUAGCUCCAAACAAACACCUCUUUCUUGUUGGACCGGUGCGUCACAUCCGGCAACAGAUCGAGAUCGCCUCUCCAACGGACCUGUGAGUCAUAUCAGGCGUUGAAAGACACUUAGACAGUAUCAUUGGGUCAUUCCGCAGCCCCUUGUGUCGUCAUUCAUCCCACCAGUUCUCCUUUCGGAGUUCAUAUCACCCUUACCGGUCGAGUAGCGUUUCCUAGGGUCUAUCAACUUGCACCCCCUUUGGCUCUUCUUCGAUCGUUGAGCUUUCCAGGUUGAUCAACCGAGCAGGAGUUCCUUUCUGGAUCUGUACCAGAAGGUCCAAGACCCGAGGCUAUGAAGGUGGUUUCACUGCACUAGCCUCCUCUUGAAGCUCUUUAUCUUCAAUCGAGGGGUGCUUAUUACAAUGGAAAGCCUUUGAUAGCUGAUGACAUGUUUGGCAGAGUUUAGGUUUUUGCGUUUGUGAGAUCUGAUCUAUCAAACUGAUUAGCUCACAGAGCCGACUGUCAUGUCUGUGAAUGCAUCUUGUAGCUUUCUUAACAACAAACGAUGGUUUGGUUUUGUCUUUCUGCUUCAGAAAUCUGCGUCACGAUUGGGUAGAAAUUGGGUAUACGGCGGGAUAUACAAGGAGAGAUCGGCAUUCCAAGUUGUGGGGACGCUUCUCAAUUGUGUAUUCAUUAGAAAAGGGAUCUUAGAAACUAGAAAGCUUUUGUAACAUUCAAAAGAUUC